rnacentral:ncRNA from 2 species
UAAAUAAAUAUGGGGAGCUUGUAGACAGGCUGAGAGGAAGUUGCGAACUUCGACCCGGGAACCUGAUUUGGAUAAUGCCAACGUAGGAAAAGAACGACAAUUACGG